AGAGUUUGAUCCUGGCUCAGGACGAACGCUGGCGGCGUGCUUAACACAUGCAAGUCGAACGGUGAUCUUGAGAGCUUGCUCUUGGGUGAUCAGUGGCGAACGGGUGAGUAACACGUGAGUAACCUGCCCCUGACUCUGGAAUAACUUCGGGAAACCGAAGCUAAUACCGGAUAUGACACAGAGCCGCAUGGUUUCUGUGUGGAAAGUUUUUCGGUUGGGGAUGGACUCGCGGCCUAUCAGCUUGUUGGUGAGGUAAUGGCUCACCAAGGCGACGACGGGUAGCCGGCCUGAGAGGGCGACCGGCCACACUGGGACUGAGACACGGCCCAGACUCCUACGGGAGGCAGCAGUGGGGAAUAUUGCACAAUGGGCGAAAGCCUGAUGCAGCGACGCCGCGUGAGGGAUGAAGGCCUUCGGGUUGUAAACCUCUUUCAGUAGGGAAGAAGCGCAAGUGACGGUACCUACAGAAGAAGCACCGGCUAACUACGUGCCAGCAGCCGCGGUAAUACGUAUGGGUGCGAGCGUUGUCCGGAAUUAUUGGGCGUAAAGAGCUUGUAGGCGGUUUGUCGCGUCUGCCGUGAAAAUCCGGGGCUCAACUCCCGGACUUGCGGUGGGUACGGGCAGACUAGAGUGUGGUAUGGGAGACUGGAAUACCUAGUGUAGCGGUGAAAUGCGCAGAUAUCAGGAGGAACACCGAUGGCGAAGGCAGGUCUCUGGGCCACUACUGACGCUGAGAAGCGAAAGCGUGGGGAGCGAACAGGAUUAGAUACCCUGGUAGUCCACGCCGUAAACGAUGAUAACUAGCUGUCCGGGCACUUGGUGCUUGGGUGGCGCAGCUAA
rnacentral:rRNA from 1 species